rnacentral:rRNA from 1 species
AAUCAACGCUGGCGGCGUGCCUCAGACAUGCAAGUCGAACGAUUAAAGCUCUCUUCGGAGAGUGCAUAAAGUGGCGCACGGGUGAGUAACACGUAAGUAAUCUACCUUCGAGUGGGGAAUAACGUCCGGAAACGGACGCUAAUACCGCAUAACGCAGCGGCAUCGCAAGAUGACAGUUGUUAAAGAUUUAUCGCUUGAAGA